GAUGAAGAACGUAGCGAAAUGCGAUAAGUAAUGUGAAUUGCAGAAUUCAGUGAAUCAUCGAAUCUUUGAACGCACAUUGCGCCCGCCAGUAUUCUGGCGGGCAUGCCUGUCUGAGCGUCAUUUCAACCCUCAUGCCCCUAGGGCGUGGUGUUGGGGAUCGGCCAAAGCCCGCGAGGGACGGCCGGCCCCUAAAUCUAGUGGCGGACCCGUCGUGGCCUCCUCUGCGAAGUAGUGAUAUUCCGCAUCGGAGAGCGAUGAGCCCCUGCCGUUAAACCCCCAACUUUCCAAGGUUGACCUCAGAUCAGGUAGGGAUACCCGCUGAACUUAAGCAUAUCAAUAAGCGGAGGA
rnacentral:misc_RNA from 1 species